UGGGGAAUAUUGCACAAUGGGCGCAAGCCUGAUGCAGCCAUGCCGCGUGUAUGAAGAAGGCCUUCGGGUUGUAAAGUACUUUCAGCGGGGAGGAAGGGAGUAAAGUUAAUACCUUUGCUCAUUGACGUUACCCGCAGAAGAAGCACCGGCUAACUCCGUGCCAGCAGCCGCGGUAAUACGGAGGGUGCAAGUGUUAAUCGGAAUUACUGGGCGUAAAGCGCACGCAGGCGGUUUGUUAAGUCAGAUGUGAAAUCCUCGGGCUCAACCUGGGAACUGCAUCUGAUACUGGCAAGCUUGAGUCUCGUAGAGGGGGGUAGGAUUCCAGGUGUAGCGGUGAAAUGCGUAGAGAUCUGGAGGAAUACCGGUGGCGAAGGCGGCCCCCUGGACAAAGACUGACGCUCAGGUGCGAAAGCGUGGGGAGCAAACAGG
rnacentral:rRNA from 1 species